rnacentral:rRNA from 1 species
GACGAACGCUGGCGGCGUGCUUAACACAUGCAAGUCGAACGGAAAGGCCCUGCUUUUGUGGGGUGCUCGAGUGGCGAACGGGUGGGUAACACGUGAGUAACCUGCCCUUGACUUUGGGAUAACUUCAGGAAACUGGGGCUAAUACCGGAUAGGAGCUCCUGCUGCAUGGUGGGGGUUGGAAAGUUUCGGCGGUUGGGGAUGGACUCGCGGCUUAUCAGCUUGUUGGUGGGGUAGUGGCUUACCAAGGCUUUGACGGGUAGCCGGCCUGAGAGGGUGACCGGCCACAUUGGGACUGAGAUACGGCCCAGACUCCUACGGGAGGCAGCAGUGGGGAAUAUUGCACGAUGGGCGGAAGCCUGAUGCAGCAACGCCGCGUGCGGGAUGACGGCCUUCGGGUUGUAAACCGCUUUCGCCUGUGACGAAGCGUGAGUGACGGUAAUGGGUAAAGAAGCACCGGCUAACUACGUG